ACAAUCUUGCAUGAUUACCAAGUGUGGAAUUAUGUUACAUAUCCUGAUUCAUUUUAGAAUGAAAACGAAAGGUGUUUUCAUAUUCAUCACUAGAUUAGCUAUGUGCUUCCAUUGCCUAUUAAAAUGAUUAUUUAUUUCUAAUUUUUGCAGGUAUUCUCAUCUGAUCCAGCUUACAAUACCGGAGAUCUGCAACUACUUUAUAAAAGCACUUACUAGACCUAACCCAGAUAACCGCGGCUGUAGGCAGCUGUUCUUAAAUUCUCGAUUCUAACUAAAUGCAAUGUACAGAAAGCUCUAGAUCUCUCUGUUGUUGAGCUAGUGAAGGAUCUAAUUGGUUGAUUGUAGAGGGACCACCGAUCAUUGUCUUCUGAUGCCAGAGUUCUGUUGUUUGUAAACACUGAAGAUGCUAAGUUGCUGAUUUUAUUUUCUUGUUCUUGGUAUUGCAACACUGUUAGGGCACAGAGGAAGUGUGAAAUCCAUCUGUUCUUAUCCAACAAACCCUGCAUCAGGCAUCAGGCAGAUUGGAAAAUGGUUCCUGGAUUAAAGACUGGUCGGCUUCGGAAAAAGACACUCACGCAGCCAAAAACAGACUCGCCAGCUGCUAUUCCUUUAGGAUCACCUGUUGCUCCAUCUCGUGUUCUCCCCGUCCCAUCAAAUGUGGGACCAUCUCAUAAUGCCACUAGCCAACCAAUGGUUGAUUCUGAUGAGACACAAGCCCCAUCUGAAACGCAGCCGAGUGGCGUAGGGACUUCGAAGCCCCUACGUGUACGCAGACCGACACGUGG